rnacentral:rRNA from 1 species
UACGGGGGGGGCAAGCGUUGUUCGGAAUUACUGGGCGUAAAGGGCUCGUAGGCGGCCAACUAAGUCAGACGUGAAAUCCCUCGGCUUAACCGGGGAACUACGUCUGAUACUGGAUGGCUUGAGUUUGGGAGAGGGAUGCGGAAUUCCAGGUGUAGCGGUGAAAUGCGUAGAUAUCUGGAGGAACACCGGUGGCGAAGGCGGCAUCCUGGACCAACACUGACGCUGAGGAGCGAAAGCCAGGGGAGCAAACGGG